rnacentral:rRNA from 1 species
AUUGAACGCUGGCGGCAGGCCUAACACAUGCAAGUCGAACGGUAACAGGAAACAGCUUGCUGUUUCGCUGACGAGUGGCGGACGGGUGAGUAAUGUCUGGGAAACUGCCUGAUGGGGGGGGUUAACUCCUGGAACCGUUAGCUAUUACCGACUACGGUGGCAGGACAAAGGAGGGGGCCCCCUGGGCCUCUUGCCUCAGGAUGUGCCCGAUGGGGUUAGCUUUGUGGUGGGGGUCCGGCCAACCAAGGCGACGAUCCCUAGCUGGUCUGAGAGGAUGACCAGCCACACUGGAACUGAGACACGGUCCAGACUCCUACGGGAGGCAGCAGUGGGGAAUAUUGCACAAUGGGCGCAAGCCUGAUGCAGCCAUGCCGCGUGUAUGAAGAAGGCCUUCGGGUUGUAAAGUACUUUCAGCGGGGAGGAAGGGAGUAAAGUUAAUACCUUUGCUCAUUGACGUUACCCGCAGAAGAAGCACCGGCUAACUCCGUG